UACGUAGGGUGCGAGCGUUGUCCGGAAUUAUUGGGCGUAAAGAGCUCGUAGGCGGUUUGUUGCGUCUAUCGUGAAAACCUGCGGCUUAACUGUGGGCUUGCGGUGGAUACGGGCAGACUUGAGUUCGGUAGGGGAGACUGGAAUUCCUGGUGUAGCGGUGAAAUGCGCAGAUAUCAGGAGGAACACCGGUGGCGAAGGCGGGUCUCUGGGCCGAAACUGACGCUGAGGAGCGAAAGCGUGGGGAGCGAACAGG
rnacentral:rRNA from 1 species